rnacentral:rRNA from 1 species
UACGGAGGGGGCAAGCGUUAUUCGGAAUUAUUGGGCGUAAAGGGCGCGUAGGCGGCUAGAUGUGUCAAAGGUGAAAUCCCUCGGCUCAACCGAGGAACUGCCUUUGAAACUGUCUGGCUUGAGGCCGGGAGAGGGUAGCGGAAUUCCCAGUGUAGCGGUGAAAUGCGUAGAUAUUGGGAGGAACACCAGUGGCGAAGGCGGCUACCUGGACCGGUUCUGACGCUGAGGCGCGAAAGCGUGGGUAGCAAACAGG